UUAAAUUGAAGAGUUUGAUCAUGGCUCAGAUUGAACGCUGGCGGCAGGCCUAACACAUGCAAGUCGAACGGUAACAGGAAGCAGCUUGCUGCUUCGCUGACGAGUGGCGGACGGGUGAGUAAUGUCUGGGAAACUGCCUGAUGGAGGGGGAUAACUACUGGAAACGGUAGCUAAUACCGCAUAAUGUCGCAAGACCAAAGAGGGGGACCUUCGGGCCUCUUGCCAUCGGAUGUGCCCAGAUGGGAUUAGCUUGUUGGUGGGGUAACGGCUCACCAAGGCGACGAUCCUUAGCUGGUCUGAGAGGAUGAC
rnacentral:rRNA from 1 species